GCUGCUAACUGCACUCAGAAUCGGAGCAGCAGCAUCGGCAUUGCGGAAUCCGGAAUCGAGUGGGGAAAGAAACGGCCUUGACAGGAACCUGGCGAUUCUGGAAGCACGACAAAGGUGUUUGGGGGGUAAACCGGCAAGACAAUGGUGGGAGUUCCGGCAAGUGGCACGAGGAGAAGACAUUAGUCUCACUGGGUUCUGAGUUCAGGAUCAUAGGUUCAACGGGGUCUUGCUUGUUCCUGGUUCCAGUUUCUACUUUGAAGUCUUAUAGACUGCUGCAUGACCCUAGUGUACUUGUUCUGAGCACACACUCGCAACACUAUUAUUAGCCGC